CCAGCACUCAGGACGUGGCAAAUUCCAGCAGCUCUCACUCGGCCUGUGUUAGGAGCCUGCCUACCGAACAUCAGUCAGAGGCUUCAGGGUGUCAAACUCUUUUAAGCAAGUGGAACAAAAGCCAUUUUGGUUCAUCCUGAUUACUUGAACGAUACACUCAAUGCCCUGUAUCUGGGAGCACUUGCGGAGGUGUCCUGGCCCUAGAGGGCUACUUCAAUGUCUCGACUGACAGAAACUCUUGUGUGUUAAAUGAAGCUCAAAGUUCUCUAGGAAGGAGUCCUCAGAAUGGCAUGUAUUGGGCCACUAGCAGGGAUUGAAAACAUUUUAACAGAAAUCCUUUUUCUUAGGCGUAAAAGCUGAUAAAAGGGGUGACUUCCUGGUUCUGAUCAAAACCAAACCAAACCCUCAUUGCAGCAAAGCCUUGCAAGACAACUCCCUUGCUCAUUUGCCAUAUUUAGAUGCCUUAGUGGAGUCAGAGCCAUGUUUGGUAUGUGUUUUCCAUGAGCUAAGUCUAAUUUGUCUUUUCAUCUCAUGAUGCAUUUUUUCUCUUUUGUCAGGAUAACAUCAUAUAGCAUCUUAUUUGUUCUUCCUAAUCUCUAUGUACAUAUCUAUCUACCUGUAACCGUAGAUAGCUAUCUAGAUAGACACCAAGCUUCUUAUACUCCGGGCUAGUAUGCAUCAUUAUCGGGUCUCUGCCUUAAAACACAUCCAAAUUUAUAUUAAAAAAAAAAAAACUAUAGAUUUUCUUUGGUCACUAGGGUUCCAAAUCAUACUGUGUCACUGAUCAUAUAUAUGAUACGCUUUACGUGAUCAUACUUGCUUAUAUAUGAUGUUUCCAUAUAUGUGCUGUGUGUUUAAGUUUUAUAUCAUCCAGACUGAUAACCAAAUUUUAAUGCUUUUUUAUAUCAAAACAGAAAACACACAUAAGCACACAAGACAGGAGUGCUAAGAUACUGUUUAGCAUUUGCUCUGCUGCCUAUUUUUGUCUGUGUUUUUAAUUAACGAUUGGAUUGUAUUGGAAGGAGAAAAAGCAGUUUCAUUAUUUUGGAUGAUGAUGCAGAGACUCAUGUUAAUGAACUCGAAAAUGGUGUUGCUUCAUGUACUUUGAAAACCAAUCAGGUGUUUUGUGCGCUUCUACUUAUCAUGUUGCAUUCAUGUUCACAUCCUGAUUUCAGUGCCUCAGAUAUGCCUGGCCACAAAAGCACUCUGAAUUAAUUGCUAAAGGGAAGCAACAACAUGCGUGUGUGUGGAGGGGGGUUGGGGGGUCUCAUCACAUACAUGUACCAUUGUUUGAUCUUAGCACUGUGAUUUGCUUUUGACGUCUGUCCUAGUGAUGUGUGUUGUCUGCUGGCAUGCUCAUAGCACAUGUCCAUUAAAGGUCAUUUUGUUCCUUUAUUUGUUGGCAUGCUUAUAGCACAUGUCCAUUAAAGUUCAUUUUGUCCUUUUAUUUUCAUUGUUUUCUUGGUUAGUGAUUUCAUUUGCAUAAACAUUAAUUUUCUCUGCAUACUGGUGUGGGGUUUUCUCUUUCUUUCUAACUCCAAAGAAAAAAUUUUUGCUGCAGAAUUUCCAUCAGAAGAAACUUCCCUUGUCUUCAACUACCUUGAAGUGUGACCAGCUCUGAUAAAUUAUAGCCAUUUCCAGAUAAACUUCUGCCCACCCAGCACUAGUGGUUUCCAUGUCAAAGCUGCAGCACUAAAUUUUUUUUAACCUGGUGUCUGUACCUACUAACCCAUGUGUCUCCACUCACACUGGCUCAGGCCUUCCACACCAACUCACACAUGCUCCGUAUAUGAGUUUCCUGAGAUCCCACUAGGAGAGAUUUGUCAACUGUAAGGUCCCUCAGCAUUCUUUUGACUUGGGCUUUGGUUACUUCCCCUCCUCCAACUUGCCCAUAACAGCAAAAAGAGAAUCCAGGUAUAGUGGGAUAUACUUGCAAGCAGAAGCUCUGGCAGGAGGAUUGGGAGUUUGAGCCCAUCCUGGGCAACAAAGCAAAGAGAGGAGGGGAAAAAAGUAGUAGCCUGUUGCUCAAACCAUGCCCGUGGGCUGCUGCCGUCAUAGCCAGGCCAACUGAGUACUCUGUCCCCCACCGUGUGCCCUGUUAAUCCACUUACCAUAUUGGUAUGAGAAUAGAGAAUUUUAAUAAAAAACAACCUUAAGAUUACAUAGUCUCCAGUCAUACCCUAAACCUUGAUGCUAAUUAUGCUAGUUUACAUAAACUUAUCAUUUCAUGCCCUUCUACCAAGUUCACGUGACCAUUUUUCAGAUAGUUAGCCUUGUUUUAAAUAAUCAGGGUCCAUCAAUCUAGAUAAGACUUAGGCAAGAGAGUUGACAGAUCUGAGUGUUAAGUGGUGGUGGUCAGUCUACUGCUUAUACUGCCAAGGUUGCUGCUAACUGGGUGUCACUCUGACUCUGGGCAGCAGUGGUGGGGACUGUAGCUAAUGACUGUGCCAUUGGUAAUUCCAUGUUGUCUGUGUAUGAGGGGUGCAGGUUGUCUGUAAUCUACUAAAGCAUCAGCCACACCCAGCUUUAGUAACUUGCUAAUCCGUGCCCUGGGUAUAUCAGCCAGGGGCUGCUACAGUUAAUGGUACACAGUUGAUGGUACACAGGCCGAAAACGAUUAAGAAUCAAGACCCUACUACAUUUCCAAAGCCGAAAAACCGUGUGGGUUACAAUUUAAGUGAGCUUGGGAAGGAACGCUCCUGAAGACGUCUCCAGACUGAAGGGUCAAAGCCGCUGGAAGCCUGGCUGUCUCUGGGCUCCCGUCUCAGUGCAGCAAGGCACCGUGAUCAACCACCCGUGAUGGGGAAGGCCCUGGUUCAGUCUUUGUUUGGGGAUGGCAGGAACCAUGGAAACAAGUGAAAUGGUCAACGGUGCUGCUGAGCAGAGGACAAGCUCCAAAGAAUCCAGUCCUGUUCCUUCUCCCACCUCGGACCGCAAGGCCAAAUCUGCACUUCCAGCCCAGAGUGCUGCCACCCUGCCAGCCAGGACCCUGGAGACGCCUGCGGCCCAGAUGGAAGGCUUCCUCAAUCGGAAGCACGAGUGGGAGGCCCACAAUAAGAAAGCCUCAAGCAGGUAAAGACAGCAGCACAGGGGAAAGAGGGGAGGGAAGUCACCCGUGUGGAGGGGGCCCAGCGUCAUGCAGGAUUGGCAUUCAGAAGGUCAGAGCUUUUCAUUCUGC
rnacentral:lncRNA from 1 species